UUACACGGGAGGAAGCUGAAGUUCAGGAAGUUCCAGCUCCCUGCAAACCUCAUUGCCAGUAAAUGGCAGAGCUGUGGUUUGCAUCCAGACAGAGCACCUGAGGCUCAGAGAGGAAACGAGGGCUACCCACAGUCACACAGCAGGUUCUGGAGCCCCAAAUCCUCCGCCUUCUACCCCAGGAAGACGGCCAGUGCCUGCUGCCCAGGGCAGGAUGAAGAUGCUGAAUCUGCCUGUUGAACAGACGGAGAAAUAGAUGCAUGGAAGAAAGGACUAUUCUGAGUUAGCAGCCAAGCCAGGAGCGGA